rnacentral:rRNA from 1 species
UACAUGGGGUGCAAACGUUGCUCGGAAUUAUUGGGCGUAAAGCGCACGUAGGUGGUCUGUUAUGUCGGAUGUGAAAGCCCUCGGCUCAACUGAGGAAGUGCAUCCGAAACUGGCAGGCUUGAGUAUGUAAGAGGGUCGCGGAAUUCCCGGUGUAGAGGUGAAAUUCGUAGAUAUCGGGAGGAACACCGGUGGCGAAGGCGGCGACCUGGGACAAUACUGACACUGAGGUGCGAAAGCGUGGGGAGCGAACAGG